AAUCAUUUCCUUGAAGAAUUUAAUUCUUGAAGCAUGCAGGUGUUAGUGUUCCCAUGUUUCUGCUGCCCACGUCCUUCGAGAUGGAAGUGGUCGUGUGUUUGGAAGGAGCUGCCUGAGCAUCUUUGGCAAUCAGACCCUGCUGAGGUGAAUCUGCCGGCAGCGAUGACUCGAUAGAAAUGGAACUUUUCUCCCUAGUGAACUCUUCACUGCAAUGCUGCAUUCUCAAGUUCAGAUGCUGCCAACCUUGUUGAAUAAUUAAUUAUGAACAGUUCCUUGAUGUUGGCUUAAGCACUGUCUUUGAUUGAGAUGUCUUCAAAAUUGGCACAAUUCCCAGAGCAAUCUUCCAUGUCGCUGGUCUCUGAUCAGACAUCAGUAGUUUUCUUCUGUCUACUUUUGUUGAGAUAUAUACAAGGGAUAUAGUGGGGCGUCCAGCAGCAGGUGGUGAUGGUGAGUGAGGCUACUGAGCAGUGGAACUCAACCAGACAUUUUCUGGUAGUCAUGGUGUCUGUGUUGAGAAGAGACCUCGUGGAGAGGGGAAGAGACAAGCAUAAGAAUUCCUCAGCCAAAUGGGAAUUACUGGCUUAAUACCGUGUAAAUGCACUGUUUUCCUCAUGUAACCUUAAUUUCCCUUGAAAUGUGUUAAGACUUGAUGCCAGUCGAAUAAAGAAUCCCUGCUUCAUUAUAUUCAGGAAGUCCAUGUGCUUGAAACUCUUGUAUUAUUUCUGAGAACACAAAGGGAGACCUAUUGUAGCUAUGAUGAGGGAUGUCCAACCCCUACAAAGUAGAGA